rnacentral:rRNA from 1 species
UAGAUUUUUAAUUAAGGGUGAGUCUACGGGUAUAGAUCUUCGGUUAUGUUUAAAUAAAUGUGACUUAAUCCGGUGCUUAUAAUAAAAUGGCCAACUUACCCCAAGACCUACUUAAACAGGGUGUUAUUGCUGCUUCCGCUGGUAAUCAUGCUCAAGGCGUAGGCUCUAUCUGCUAGUCGCUUAGGAGCAAAAGCAAUGAUUGUUAUGCCAGUUUACAACCCCUCUAGUUAAAGUAAAUGCGGUUAAAUCCCGUGGAGGAGAAGAAUUUUAUAUGGAAAUACCUAUGAUGAUGCAUCUAAUCCUUGCUGACCCAUUUUUCAUUUCCCCCAAUAUAAUUAUAAUGAAUUUCCCUACAAAUGUGAUUCAUUUACAAGCUUAUCCGACACAGAAUCGCGGGAUGUAGCUUAUAACUAGCAGCUAUUCCACUAUUCUAAAUUAGGUUUGGUUAAAUUACUACCCAAAAUUUAUUAUUCUUUACACAACAAUCUCUCCUUGCAUUCAAGCGAUCGCCCCUARCCCAGUAGUCCUAGCCGUAAACGAUGGAUACUAGGCGUGGCUUGUAUCGACCCGAGCCGUGCCGGAGCUAACGCGUUAAGUAUCCCGCCUGGGGAGUACGCACGCAAGUGUGAAACUCAAAGGAAUUGACGGGGGCCCGCACAAGCGGUGGAGUAUGUGGUUUAAUUCGAUGCAACGCGAAGAACCUUACCAAGACUUGACAUCCUGCGAAUCCCGGUGAAAGCUGGGAGUGCCUUAGGGAGCGCAGAGACAGGUGGUGCAUGGCUGUCGUCAGCUCGUGUCGUGAGAUGUUGGGUUAAGUCCCGCAACGAGCGCAACCCUCGUUUUUAGUUGCCAGCAUUAAGUUGGGCACUCUAGAGAGACUGCCGGUGACAAACCGGAGGAAGGUGGGGAUGACGUCAAGUCAGCAUGCCCCUUACGUCUUGGGCUACACACGUACUACAAUGCUACGGACAGAGGGCAGCGAGCCAGGGAUGGCAAGCGAAUCCAGAAACCGUAGCUCAGUUCAGAUCGAAGGCUGCAACUCGCCUUCGUGAAGGAGGAAUCGCUAGUAAUUGCAGGUCAGCAUACUGCAGUGAAUUCGUUCCCGGGCCUUGUACACACCGCCCGUCACACCAUGGAAGUUGGUCACGCCCGAAGUCAUUACCCCAACCGAAAGGAGGGGGAUGCCUAAGGUAGGACUGGUGACUGGGGUGAAGUCGUAACAAGGUAGCCGUACCGGAAGGUGUGGCUG